rnacentral:lncRNA from 1 species
AUGAUCACAGAAAAACUCUCUGCUUUGUUGCGUUGCUCCCUAAUCGACUCUCUUCUCAUCACAGAGUCUGCUGCUUCUCAACGAGUGAGACUUCUGACGCACACACAACAAGAGCAAUCACCUUUUCCUAAGGAGUCCUUGGAAGUAGACUCAGUCUUUGAGGGCCAUCAUCAUUCCUGUACAAAUGAAAAAAAUUCUGUAUUGCUUAAGAGGAGAUUGUGUACCAGCGGUUUUAUUUCCUCAAUCAGCCAAGCUGGAGGCUGGAAUUUACGAAAUGUCUCCUGCUAGAACUACCCUCGUCUGAUUUUUGUGCCAGUCAUCUGAGUAAGCUAGCCUUCCUCCUGCCUGGAACAUGACAAUGAUACCUACAGUCGUGGCUGCCAUUCUGCCAGUGAUAAUCGACAGGUCACAUUUGGCAGACUUCCAAAUCCACUUGCCCAGGGUGAGAGUGUGCUUCUCCAGCCUGCCACCCACCCACUAGUCAUCUAUAUAUGAAUGUGACUUGCCCAGGGGAGGUUUUAUGAUUCCUGGCUCACAUCCUAUUCCUGAGUAAAGAUCAUAACAUGAAUUCCUCAACUAUUAUCAUGAGUUCCUCAAACUUGAAAUACUGAUUAAGAUAUUGUUAUGCCCAGACCGUUUGUUCCCUAAAGAAGACCACCAGAGUCCAGAGUCAAAGCCAAGCGGCAAGGAUCUUUACUACAAGUUCGAACUUGGUCCCUCCAUUCCACAGCGUACCAGAGGGCCUCGAACAAUGCGAGUGCUUGCUUUUUAUAGCCCGAUGUAAACAGGAUAUGUAAAGUUACAGGGGAACAAGGUAAUUCUCUCGGUUACAGCAUUACAAUUGGUUAAUAUUAUACAUUUGGCAUUUUUUAUUGGUUCCCGCUGUGUCCUUAUCGGAGAUUUCCCAGGUGGUGUUUUUCUGAAGUUUGACAGAAAUAUGGAGGAAUGUGUUUGUGCUGGAGGCUCAGGAGUUGGGAGAUAUAUGAGGAAUCGCGUUGUGCUGGGCU